UUAUCGGAGAGUUUGAUCCUGGCUCAGGACGAACGCUGGCGGCGUGCCUAAUACAUGCAAGUCGAGCGGACAGAUGGGAGCUUGCUCCCUGAUGUUAGCGGCGGACGGGUGAGUAACACGUGGGUAACCUGCCUGUAAGACUGGGAUAACUCCGGGAAACCGGGGCUAAUACCGGAUGGUUGUUUGAACCGCAUGG
rnacentral:rRNA from 1 species